GACGAACCACCCAAACGUUAUUCGGAAUCACUGGGCUUAAAGAGUGCGUAGGCGGCUAUGUAAGUUAGGUGUGAAAUCCCACAGCUCAACUGUGGAACUGCGCUUAAAACUACAUGGCUAGAGGGAUAUAGAGGUGAGCGGAACUGAUGGUGGAGCGGUGAAAUGCGUUGAUAUCAUCAGGAACACCGGAGGCGAAGGCGGCUCACUGGGUAUCUUCUGACGCUGAGGUACGAAAGCUAGGGGAGCGAACAGG
rnacentral:rRNA from 1 species